UAUGAACAAAAAAAAGAAAAAAAGAUGGGAAGUAUUUUUUGUUGUAAUUGCUUUAAAUUCUUUUUGUGAAAAGAACAAAAGCAAAAACAAACUUUGUAUUUUUGGUUAGUAGAUUCUUGUGAAAUGAAAAUGACACCAUAUUCUGGUUCAAAUGAUGUUAAGUGGUUCUAUGCUAUGGAUACCUCCUUGCGGUGGCAGGGUGACAAGAAGAGAGAAAAAAGCAGGCAUCUAAGUAGGUGCAUGGUUUUAAAAUUUGAUGUCUAGUCAUGUUAAGUGGGCCAAAGUUGUUCUCAGAUAGGUGCCUAUAUUGAACAACAAGAUGGCCAAACUACUGAAGGUUCCCAAAGUGUGGUUUAUAUCUGUGCCUUCCCAUUAUUAUCAUAUACCAAAAUUUCCUUCUUGUUUUUGUCAGUUCCUCUUAUAUGAUACGCUGUCUUCAAAUUUUUAGUUUCUAUAAUUAUAAACUUUAUUGAGUACAUUGUGUAGCCAAGACACUGAAAAGAUUAGAGGAGAAGAUUCAGGGACGGGUUUUGAGCCAUUUGUUAUAUCUGAUGCGUAUAGCAGAGAAGCUGUUCAAAGACAAGUUGUUUUGGCUCUUGCCAACCUUUGUUCAGCAGAGGAUCAAAGAACAAUAUUCAUUGAUAACAAUGGAUUAGAGUUACCAAUUGGUCUUCUUGGUUGCACGAACCUAAAGCAGCAACUUGAUGGUUCUAUAGCCUUGUACAAUUUAGCUAAAAAAGCCACAACUCUUUCUCCCAUUGAUGCGGCUCCUCCAUCUCUGACGCCACAGGCGUAUGUCCUUUUUAUUGUUAGUUUAUUUGGCCCAUGUGUUCUGUUAGAUUUGGAAUUAUUUCAAGCAAUUAGCAGGACUAGUAUUUGGCAAAUUUCAUGAAAAUAUCAGUUGGCUUCUAAUUUAAGAAAUUUGAAUCUGUCGUGUAUUUUAAUUGUGUGCAUGCAUCUUACAAGAGUUAGGGUCCUAGAGUAGAGUAGUGAGGCAAUUACUUUUUACUAGACAGUUGUUGAAAUAUUAAUUGUGUUGUACUCAAGACCUCUGUCUUAAAGGGGUUUGGGCUUGUUGAUUUGACCAAAUUUCCAGCUUCUACAGUAAUUACUGCUAACUGGGAUUUAACUUUUAUCA